UGAUAAGGUCCGUGUUCGAAAGGGAAACAGCCCAGACCACCAGCUAAGGUCCCAAAAUAUAUGUUAAGUGGAAAAGGAUGUGGCGUUGCCCAGACAACUAGGAUGUUGGCUUAGAAGCAGCCAUCAUUUAAAGAGUGCGUAAUAGCUCACUAGUCGAGUGACACUGCGCCGAAAAUGUACCGGGGCUAAACAUAUUACCGAAGCUGUGGAUUGUCCUUUGGACAAUGGUAGGAGAGCGUUCUAAGGGCGUUGAAGCAUGAUCGUAAGGACAUGUGGAGCGCUUAGAAGUGAGAAUGCCGGUGUGAGUAGCGAAAGACGGGUGAGAAUCCCGUCCACCGAUUGACUAAGGUUUCCAGAGGAAGGCUCGUCCGCUCUGGGUUAGUCGGGUCCUAAGCUGAGGCCGACAGGCGUAGGCGAUGGAUAACAGGUUGAUAUUCCUGUACCACCUAUAAUCGUUUUAAUCGAUGGGGGGACGCAGUAGGAUAGGCGAAGCGUGCGAUUGGAUUGCACGUCUAAGCAGUAAGGCUGAGUAUUAGGCAAAUCCGGUACUCGUUAAGGCUGAGCUGUGAUGGGGAGAAGACAUUGUGUCUUCGAGUCGUUGAUUUCACACUGCCGAGAAAAGCCUCUAGAUAGAAAAUAGGUGCCCGUACCGCAAACCGACACAGGUAGUCAAGAUGAGAAUUCUAAGGUGAGCGAGCGAACUCUCGUUAAGGAACUCGGCAAAAUGACCCCGUAACUUCGGGAGAAGGGGUGCUCUUUAGGGUUAACGCCCAGAAGAGCCGCAGUGAAUAGGCCCAAGCGACUGUUUAUCAAAAACACAGGUCUCUGCUAAACCGUAAGGUGAUGUAUAGGGGCUGACGCCUGCCCGGUGCUGGAAGGUUAAGAGGAGUGGUUAGCUUCUGCGAAGCUACGAAUCGAAGCCCCAGUAAACGGCGGCCGUAACUAUAACGGUCCUAAGGUAGCGAAAUUCCUUGUCGGGUAAGUUCCGACCCGCACGAAAGGCGUAACGAUUUGGGCACUGUCUCAACGAGAGACUCGGUGAAAUCAUAGUACCUGUGAAGAUGCAGGUUACCCGCGACAGGACGGAAAGACCCCGUGGAGCUUUACUGUAGCCUGAUAUUGAAAUUCGGCACAGCUUGUACAGGAUAGGUAGGAGCCUUUGAAACGUGAGCGCUAGCUUACGUGGAGGCGCUGGUGGGAUACUACCCUAGCUGUGUUGGCUUUCUAACCCGCACCACUUAUCGUGGUGGGAGACAGUGUCAGGCGGGCAGUUUGACUGGGGCGGUCGCCUCCUAAAAGGUAACGGAGGCGCUCAAAGGUUCCCUCAGAAUGGUUGGAAAUCAUUCAUAGAGUGUAAAGGCAUAAGGGAGCUUGACUGCGAGACCUACAAGUCGAGCAGGGUCGAAAGACGGACUUAGUGAUCCGGUGGUUCCGCAUGGAAGGGCCAUCGCUCAACGGAUAAAAGCUACCCCGGGGAUAACAGGCUUAUCUCCCCCAAGAGUUCACAUCGACGGGGAGGUUUGGCACCUCGAUGUCGGCUCAUCGCAUCCUGGGGCUGUAGUCGGUCCCAAGGGUUGGGCUGUUCGCCCAUUAAAGCGGUACGCGAGCUGGGUUCAGAACGUCGUGAGACAGUUCGGUCCCUAUCCGUCGUGGGCGUAGGAAAUUUGAGAGGAGCUGUCCUUAGUACGAGAGGACCGGGAUGGACAUACCUCUGGUGUACCAGUUGUCGUGCCAACGGCAUAGCUGGGUAGCUAUGUGUGGACGGGAUAAGUGCUGAAAGCAUCUAAGCAUGAAGCCCCCCUCAAGAUGAGAUUUCCCAACUUCGGUUAUAAGAUCCCUCAAAGAUGAUGAGGUUAAUAGGUUCGAGGUGGAAGCAUGGUGACAUGUGGAGCUGACGAAUACUAA
rnacentral:rRNA from 1 species